GCAGGGCAAGGAUCGGGCUCAUAACCCGGAGGUCGUAGGUUCAAAUCCUACCCCUGCA
rnacentral:tRNA from 1 species